rnacentral:ncRNA from 1 species
UGUUCUCAGGGCGGGGUGCAAUUCCCCACCGGCGGUAAUGGGCCAUGGCCCUAGCCCGCGAGCGCCCCAGCGAUGGGGGUCAGCAGACCCGGUGUGAUCCCGGGGCCGACGGUAUAGUCCGGAUGGAAGAGAACG